UUUUCUUGAACCCCGAAAUUUUCUUUUCUUCUUCUUGGUCUGAAAACCACGUCGGUCUGAUCUCCGCUUCGGUCUGAACUCUGGUUCGGUCUGAACUCCGGAAAAUUGGUCUGAACACCACUUCGGUCUGAACUCCGCUUCGGUCUGAACUCCGGAAAAUUGGUCGCGCCAAUGAUCCCCAAUCAUUGCAUUUGAACCCCUGAACC
rnacentral:lncRNA from 1 species